GGCCUAGGGGAAAAAAUGAACAACAGAUGUGAUAAUAGUCUUCUAAAACUAAGAUUUUUUAAAAACCCAGAUUUUGUAUUUUAGAGCAGUUUUAGAUUUAUAGAAUUAUGAAGAUGGUAGAAUUCCGUUUAUCUUGUACAGUUUCCCCUAUUAGUAACAUCUUAAAUUAUUAGGAUACAUUUGUAACAAUUAAUGAAUCAAUAUUGAUACAUUAUUAACUUAAGUCUAUACUUUAUUCAGAUUUCCUCAGUUUUUCCCUCAUGUCCCUUUUCUGGCUCAGGAUCCUGCCCAAUCAAUACCUUUGGUUGCAUUGUCUCCUGAGGCAAAUUUGGGUUGUGAGUUUCUCAGACUUUCCUUGUUCCUGAUGAACUUGCCAGCUUAGAGAUUUACUAGUUAGGAUUCUGUAAGAUGUCCCUUCACUUGGACUUAUCUGAUGUUUUUCUCAUGAUUAGACUGGGAAGAAGACCACUGAGGUAAAGUACGCUUUUCAUCACAUUACAGGAUACCUGAUCAUCACAGUGAUGACUGAUCAUCAAUAGGACUUACCAGUGUGGAUGUUAACCUCGAUCAAUUGGCUUGAGGCAGUGUCUCUGUUUUCUCCACUGUGAAGUUACUGUUUUCCCUUCCUUCCCAUAUAUGGAAGGACAUCACUGCACUGCCCACACUUAAGGGGGCGAGUUCCACUCCACUUCCCUGAGGGUUGAGUGUCUACAUAAAUUGUUUGGAAUUCUUCAUAGGAGAUUGCGUAUGUGAAAACAAACAAACAAACUUAAGUUUGGGCCAAGAGCAGCUGCCACUGUCACUGGAGAGCCAAAAAACUCUUUAUGUGAGCAUGUAUAUGCAUGUAUAUCCAUUAUUUCUACAAUGCUACAUUUAGAAAGUGGAAAAUGGAAGAUUGUGCUUCUUAUAGCUCCUAAAAGCCCUGCGUAGAAAGCUAUGACUUCUCUUUCAAAGAAGGAAAUAAGUACUAUAUAUGGAAAAGGAAUUUUACAUAAAAUAUUUGCUCUUUUCUUCCCAGUGUAAAGGCAUAAUGAGAGAGGAAGAAGUUUUUUUUUUAAGUAGAAUGACUUUUUUAAACCUGUUUUUAAAAUGUUAAUUUAACCUCCUAACUAUUAAGUUUUAAGAAUGAUAUGAUUUCAGAUUACAUCAUAAUUGCCGAAGCCAUUAUCAAUGACUCAAAUAAAUCCUGAAUUGCAGCAA